rnacentral:misc_RNA from 1 species
UUUAAAUCUAUGUGUGUUAUCCAUGUGGCAUGUUAAUGCGGACAAAAAAAAAGUUUAAGUGAAAAGAAAGCUUGAGCAUAUGACUCACUUGGUGCCUAAAACACCAAAAAUGACAAUUUUGAUGCCCUCCUAAGAUUGUUGCUUUCUUUUGUUGAUUAGACUGAGUUGAUAGAGAGAGCGAGGGUGCGUUUUGGGUGUUUUAUGCACUAGGUGGAUCCCACUUCAAG